GUAAUUGUGGUUUAGCGGUUGAGUGUUAGACUAAAACGCGGGAGAUCAGGGUUCGAUUCCCCACUCAGUCAUG